AUACUUACCUGGCAGGGGAAAUGUGAUCAUGAAGGUGGUUUUCCCAGAGUGAGCCUCAUCCAUUGCUCUCUGGAUGUGCCAACCCCUGCCAUUUGUCCAAACCUGGGAAACGCUACUGCAUAAUUUGUGGUAGUGGGGGAUCCCAUUCAUAUUUUCCCCUG